rnacentral:tRNA from 1 species
GAGGGUAUAGCUCAGGGGUAGAGUGAGUGCUUAGCAUGCAUGAGGUCCUGGUUUCAAUCUCCAGUACCUCCA